UAGGCGAAGAAAUCAAAAACAAAAGUGAACUGAGAGCGAGACUGUAUCUAGCAUGAAUAGUAACAGAAUUAAUACCUCUUUUCUAUUACUAUUCCUGCUGGAUACGUAACAUGAGACGUAAAUGGAAUGAAUAAGAUAUCGGCAUUGGUGAUCAGACUGGAUUUGAAUGCUCCCGUGAACAACAACUUCGGCGACGACGGCGUGUAGAAAACUCUUUGGAGACUGCCGCGCACAUCACUUUUAAAAAUCUAGUGUAGCAUAUGACAUUGUAAUCGAGCAGCCCGUAGACAUUAUCGCAAGUUAAAAAGUGAACCUUGUAUCAUUCAUACCUCAUUAUGAUUCGCGCUGGAGGCUGCAGGCAUGCAACCCAUCACUUUCCAUCGUUUCGCUAGUAGCUGUUACGAGCAUCACUUACGAUUUCUACACCAGCAGACAGUCAAAACAUCAAUCAAACCAUCAUCGUUGCAUCGUGAAAUCCGAAACAGUAGCGGGAUAGUCACAGCUUGAUCAAGCGUGAUCGAACGGAGAUGAUGCGAACCUGCAAUGUGGUGCGGCUGUUUGCACAUUUUUACUUCAAACAACGAUAAGGAGAUUCAAUUUCACCACAACUGCUUUUUACCCUAAGCUCGGGAGAAUAUAAAUUAAAUGCAGUUUUUGCUGGCGUCUGCGCAGAUUAUUGCAUCUUCACUUUUGUGAGUGGCUUCAGACCUAAAAACGUUUCAAAUGUGUGUUUGCAACACUACAAGCCCACCUGACGAACAGUAGACCCAGAAAAUGUGAACACGGGAAAUAUUUUUUGGUACUUCACGUUCACACGUUGACGAGUGGGUAUCGGCAAGAAACUCGU